rnacentral:rRNA from 1 species
GUGGGGAAUCUUAGACAAUGGGGGAAACCCUGAUCUAGCCAUGCCGCGUGAGCGAUGAAGGCCUUAGGGUUGUAAAGCUCUUUCAGCUGGGAAGAUAAUGACGGUACCAGCAGAAGAAGCCCCGGCUAACUCCGUGCCAGCAGCCGCGGUAUUACGGAGGGGGCUAGCGUUGUUCGGAAUUACUGGGCGUAAAGCGCACGUAGGCGGAUCAGAAAGUCAGAGGUGAAAUCCCAGGGCUCAACCUUGGAACUGCCUUUGAAACUCCUGGUCUUGAGGUCGAGAGAGGUGAGUGGAAUUCCGAGUGUAGAGGUGAAAUUCGUAGAUAUUCGGAGGAACACCAGUGGCGAAGGCGGCUCACUGGCUCGAUACUGACGCUGAGGUGCGAAAGCGUGGGGAGCAAACAGGAUUAGAUACCCUAGUAGUCC